rnacentral:rRNA from 1 species
UACGGGGGGGGCAAGCGUUGUUCGGAAUUACUGGGCGUAAAGGGCUCGUAGGUGGCCAACUAAGUCAGACGUGAAAAUCCCUCGGCUUAACCGGGGAACUGCGUCUGAUACUGGAUGGCUUGAGUUUGGGAGAGGGAUGCGGAAUUCCAGGGUGUAGCGGUGAAAUGCGUAGAUAUCUGGAGGAACACCGGUGGCGAAGGCGGCAUCCUGGACCAACACUGACACUGAGGAGCGAAAGCCAGGGGAGCGAAACGGG